ensembl:lncRNA
AGUCCAGUGCAUUCUUUGCUACUGUAACGGCGGUGUGCUGAGCACAAGAGCUCGGUGAAUUUUGCAUGGACAGAUUUCCCUUAGUAACACAUCUACAUUAUGGACAGUGAAUGAACAGGGAGUGAGAAGUUCCAAGGCAACAAGGAGGAAAUAUAUGCUUUGUAGCUUUCCCUGCUCCUUAAGUCCUUACUGGCCUCUGCUGAGAUACCUUCUCUCUCAGUGGCUGUGGUUAUCAGCUGUCUCCAAUGCAUCUCAGUUGAUGGAGCAAGUUGUUACUCCUGCCCAGUCCACCACCACUGCUGCUGGCUGCUGGACCACCCGCUAACCAGAGUGUUUGUUACAAAAUGAAGAUGAAGCAGCUGGAACUUGGGUCUGCGAAGAGAGGCUCUGUCUUUCCUUGCUUGGCCUCUGAAAUAUGUACUCCAGUCAUGAAGCAGAGAAUGUUAUAGAGAAGACAAAGAAUUAAAUGAUAAAAAUCCUUAAAAAUUAAAAGAAGUUGCAAUCCCAGUUUUGAAGAGAGAAGGAAAGUCAGAAGUCGUAUUCAUUUUUUCAGUAGUUUGGGCAGCUGUUUAUCUUCCUUGGAACCAGAGACUCUCAUACUGAGUGAGGGUGGUCAGGAAAGGAUUCACUGAGACUAGGACAUUUGAGCCAAGACAGGAAGUGAAGAAGGAAGAUUGAACAGCUGGCAGAAGAGCAAGUGCAAACGUCCUGAGGUAGGAGAUUGUCCUGUGAAUUCUAGGAAAAGCAAGAUACUGGAGCUGAGAGAACUUGAGCUUUCAAAGUGAGAUCCAAAGGUAAGGAGAGGGAGAUUCCCUUUCUGAGUAAGUUGGGAAGCCAGUAGAAAAUGCUAGGCAAAGACUUGACCUGAUAGAGUCUGUGUUUUAAAUAGUUCAUUCUGAAAUCACAUGUUAAGAAAAGUUACAAUGGGGUAUAGAGAUCAGUAAGAAGUUGUUGCAAUAAUCUGUGUGAGAGAUAAUGGUGGCUUGGACUAGAGUUCAAAGUGAAGGCGCUGUAUGGGUUUACCUGUCUUUUGAAGUCCAAACAACAGCAUCUACUGAUGGGGGGGAGUGCUUAGAGAAAUAGUCUGAGUAUCUGGUAGAAUGAAUGUUGCUGCAUUUACUGAAAUUAGGGAGGAUCAGGUUUGUGGGGACAAACAAGGAAGUUUAUGUUAAACAUAUUAAAUUAAAAGGAAUAUCUGAAUCUACAAUUGAGGGGAGUGGGCCAGUUAGAAUAUGUAUGGUAUUUAAAACCACGUAUUAGGAUGAGAUGACUGGGAAGGUUUGGGGGAGGCGGUUCCCUUAGGCAAAGAGAGACAAAGAGAAAUAUAUAAAUGUGGUUAACAGCAUAAGAUCAGGCAGAAUGUCAGAGAGGAUUGUAUUCCAUCAUGGGUUAACCUAAAAAAGAAUGAAAAAAUCUUGUGACUUUGGAUAUUUUUCAGAAAAAAAACCCUAACUUGUCACAUAAUAUAGCCGUGUCUUCCAAUAUAGUAAGCAGACCUCUGGAAGCACCUCAAAUAAUACACUGAGGAAUGGGAAGGAAGCGUUAGACAGUGAUAUUAUAAGAAGUUAAAAUUUAAUAUACUGUUAUAUUAUGAGCUUUAUAGGAACUGACAAGAAUACACAUGCCUAUGUAUGUAUGUCUAAAUUUUAGAGAUAAGAGAUCUAAAAUGCUGCACUCUAGUGAUGGAAUCGCCGGAAAGUCGAAAAGGGCUUUUUGCUCUUUUUUUAAUGGAUCAUCCAGAAACAUAUCUCCAUCCCCAUGUUUGUGUGGUUCAAAAGGCCUCUAAGUGACCAGCCACUAGCCCCGGCAAGGAUAGGCUCUGUCCUAUUAGCAUCAAUGUUCUUAUCUCACAGGCCAUCCCUCCGCCAACCCUCCUUUCUCCAGAGGCCCUAAAGAUUUGGUGGGUGCCUACUCAGAUUCCAGCCUAGUUCACACACUUACUGAAAGCAUUGUGCAGUGCUGUGUUUGGGCCUCAGUCACCACAAAGAUGGGGUAGGGUGGGGGCGGGGGGCGAUGUCGUUGCACAGUGAAAUCUGAGGGCUUGAGGAUAACACCUGCCUCCCUUUGUUGUGUUUUUCUGCAAUUAUUUCGUCUGAGAGGGACCCUCUAGGGUUCCUGCAUUUGUCCUCUGAGGAGCGGGCCCAGCCCAGCAAAGUCUGGAGGCUGCUUAGAAACCCUGCAUGCGGCACUGUGAUCAUUUCUCGCCAUUUAUUUUUGCUGAAGCUAUGUACCUUUGAUUAAACCUGGCACUGCACUUUAGAAGUCACUGAUAGACAUCAAAGAAGUUAGCUCUCCUAGAUCAAAAUAGACUGAAGGUUUGGACCUGGACCAGCGCUGUUUGAACACUGAGAACAGUCCACAGCAGGAGGCAAUUGCUUUUGGAAAAGAAUCAGAAAAGAACCAAAUGGAUUUCCUCUAUUUCUUCCUUCAUUAGCAGCCCUGCAAAUGCCUUCAUCCCAUCAGAAAAGAAAUCCUUAGGAUUUUUAUCCAAAAACCUGCUUGGGGAAGGGGUAAAAUUUGAAGUGAAAAAUUUAAACAACCUAAUAAAUUAUUAAACUUGGUAAUAAAGGUAGAAUUUGUUUAAGGAGUAGAAUAAAUACCUUGAUUAUUCCCUUUAGUUUAUAUGCAAUCAAAGACAGAGCACAAGGAUGUUUGAAGAAUGCAGAUUUACUUUAUUUGCACUUAGUGAUCUUGGAAAAAUUAAAAGGAAAACAGAGAUACAUCAUACAUAGAUCAAAUGUAAAAAAUUAUAUAUUUAGGUAUGCUUUGGUUUCCCAAAGGUAUUCUGAGAAUUUAAGGAGUAUCAUUUUCAUAUAAUCUGCUUUCAGGAAUGAAUACCUGGCUUAUUGUAGACAUUAAAUAAGAAUUUGGGGUUUUUUUGAUAAGAUUUUUAUUUUUUCUGUUAUACUUGAUUUACAAUGUUCUGUCAAUUACUGCUGUACAGCAAAGUGACACAGUCAUAUAUAUGUAUAUAUGUGUGCG